rnacentral:rRNA from 1 species
UACAGAGGUCUCGAGCGUUGUUCGGAUUCAUUGGGCGUAAAGGGCGCGUAGGCGGCGCGGUAAGUCGGGUGUGAAAUCUCGGAGCUUAACUCCGAAACUGCAUUCGAUACUGCCGUGCUUGAGGACUGGAGAGGAGACUGGAAUUUACGGUGUAGCGGUGAAAUGCGUAGAUAUCGUAAGGAAGACCAGUGGCGAAGGCGGGUCUCUGGACAGUUCCUGACGCUGAGGCACGAAGGCCAAGGGAGCAAACGGG